UUCUGGUCGAGGAGGGUCCUUACUACUAUUGUAUGCUUGAAAUCUUGUUUGGGAGACUCUCACGACCUCUCUAUAAUCAGGCUUUGAAGAAGAUCUCCAAGUUUGUGAAGACAAAUAUUCUUCCUGGGGCAAUUGCAGAGGUUGGACUGCUUUGUUGUGCCUGCAUUCAUUCUAACCCAGAAGAGGCAGUUACUCAACUUGUUGAGCCAAUUUUAUUGUCUGUUAUAUCUUCUUUAGAAGGAACACCAGCUACAGGAUUUGGAGGUAGAGGAAUGUGCGAUGCCUCAGUUUCAACAAAGGUCAAACCAACAAUUUCUCCAGCUCUUGAAACAGCAAUUGACUAUCAAUUAAAAGUAUUAUCAGUUGCUAUAUAAGUUAUGGAGGUCCUGCACUUCUGCGCUACAAGGAUCACUUCAAAGAGGCGAUUAUUUCUGCUUUUUAGUCCCCAUCUUAGAAGGUCAAUGGAGCUGGUGAUCUCUUCUUCGAUCCCUUCUUGGAAGCCUGAUUCUUUGUUAUCCUAUUGAUCAAUACAAGUGCAUUUUGCAUCAUCCAAAUGCUGCUGCAUUAGAGGAAUGGAUCAGCACCAAAGAUUAUUCAGGUGAUAAACCAAUGGUGGCUCCCAAGUGGCAUAUCCCGAGUGUUGAAGAAGUUGAAUUUGUAAAAAUGAACUUUUGGACCUUCAUUUUCGGUUGGCUUUGGAUGAUCUUUCGAGAAUAUGUGAAACUAAAGUCCAUUCUGAUCCAGGAAGGUGAUGCUGCUGUUGCCGUCGCUGAGGAGGUGAAGAAGAACAACCAUGUAGUAAGAAAGUUGGAGAAGCGUCAACAGAUUUGCACCCUUGACCAACAUAUUGAAGAGCAAUUUAGUGGUGGUCGUCUGUUGGCUUGUAUUAUAGCAUGGGUUCGUUUGAGUGCUUAACAGUGUUUAUCAUGAUUGCAUCGCAUCCCUUAACUCCCUCAGUUCUCUCUGGCAGCUGUCAGAUUGUUUGAAAAUAAUUGUCCACUUAUAAUUUGUUGAAGAAUCACCUUGUUAUAUGUUCAUUGCCUUACAUGGCACAUAAACUGUUUCCAUUUUGAAGUUGAACUAUUUCGUACACCUCCAUAUAUAAACAUAGUUGCUCUUUAUGAACGUAUAACAGUUUACUUGUUUGAAACGACGUGUUCGUUUCCACUGAAUUCUACUCA